rnacentral:rRNA from 1 species
UAGGGAAUCUUCCACAAUGGACGCAAGUCUGAUGGAGCAACGCCGCGUGAGUGAAGAAGGUCUUCGGAUCGUAAAGCUCUGUUGUUGGUGAAGAAGGAUAGAGGCAGUAACUGGUCUUUAUUUGACGGUAAUCAACCAGAAAGUCACGGCUAACUACGUGCCAGCAGCCGCGGUAAUACGUAGGUGGCAAGCGUUGUCCGGAUUUAUUGGGCGUAAAGCGAGCG